GAGAGAGAGAGAGAGAGAGAGAGAGAGAGAGAGAGAGUGUCUAUAAUAGCAGUGAGACAUGGAAGCAGGAGAACAGAGUAGGGAACUGACUGAUCACAUUUCUAUCCAUACACAGGAAGCAGAGACAGGGAGCAGGAAGUGAGGAAAACUAUAGUCCCUCAAAGCCUUUCCCAUGGUGAUGGCCUUCCUCUAGCAGGGCUCUACCUCUUCCAUCACCUUCCCAAACAGAGCCAUCCACUAGAGACCAAGCACUUAAUAAUGUAAGACGAUGGGAGACUUUUCUCAGUCAGACCAUCACACCUAGUAUCUUGAAACUCAGUCCAGGUUCAUGUCUUCAAUCAUCCCCUAAUGGAAGGAGAGAGUGCCAUUGGUUAGAUGCUAAGCUCACCCCAGGUACACUGGAUAUGUAGCUUUGUGUUCCUUUUGGACAAUGGGCUCAAUACCCUGGCUGGCUUUAGAAACCUUCUCUUUAGUGAAUGUUGAUGUUCAUCCAUGACUUCUUUCUAAGCUCACACGGCCAAGUGAGCUUGAUUUCUCCACCAGAUGUUUAAUUAUUGAAAACUAGACUUUCCCAAUCAAUGCCUUCACUUAUAACCUGCCUUCCCAGCCUCCAACUUAUUCUAUCUCAGUCUUCAUUCAACAUCUACUCAAACGCUUAAGUUAAAAAAAAAAAAAAGAAUCAACUCAGACUCAUUCCUUCUCCUCGUGUAGGAUCACAAGCACAACAGCAUUAACUGUCUUUGAGAAAGAACCCCAGUCUUGUCUCUGCUUCCCAUGCCAUUGCCAUCCUCCUGUCCCAGCCAUCUCUUCUUCCACCUGGUGUUUCACUUUCACUAUUGUGCUGCCCUUCAGGCCCCAUUUCCCACACACUUGCUAGUGGUCUUCAAACUAAAUCAGAACGGGACACAGCAUCCACUCAGAACCAUCUCACAUGAAUCUCACAUUCUCAGCCAAACAACCACUGGGAACUGGUUUUCUGGGCCCCCAUACAUACCUAGCCAUUCUCAUUCUCACCUUAUUGCUGGGACAUGCUAAGUUUAUGGCCACCUUAGAAUUUUGUGGCUUUUAUUUGUGCGUAGAAUGUUGUCCUCAUCUUAAUAUGGCUAAUUUCUCUUCUCUUCCAAGGAACAGAAAUGGCGGUGAUCCGUGUCUGAAAUCAUCAGGUUUGCUUAUCUGUCCCAUGUCGGUUUUCCUCUUGAGAGUGAGAGCAGGAGCCCAUCUGUUUUUAUGUACUGACCCACCCGCUCCUUCAACGCUGGUUCUCAGAGACAUACCUGGAGUGGGCCUGCUAUCAAUAACCAUUUGUUGAAUAAACAGUGGUUAUUGCAAUUAUCAAAGUUGUUAACUAUCUUUAUAGUAAAAAAGCUUCUCUGUUGCUCCAUAAAAAUUUAAUAACUCUUCUUAAUUCUUUCCUCCCCCAGUUUUGUUUUGUUUGGCUUCGUGCUCUCCACCGUGAUGAAGAAUUUAAAGCUUUUAAUUUCUUCACUUUUCUACCCUCUUGUGGGAUCUCCCCUUGACAACCUACCCACAUCUCUCUGUCAUACAUAUGCCUCCUGGGUUUUGCUGGGUAAACAUAGAACAGUUGCCGUAUUAGGCCAUAUUUUCUUACCAUAUACCUUUCGUGUUUCGGUAAUCCUUACUUCACUCGUGUUACCAUUCCCAGUCUCGUGUUCAUCAUCCUCUUCCAUUUAACUCUAAAACGCUACAGGAUUUAUCACUCACUACUCUCUCUCAUAUGUGUUGGCUUCCUCACCCUGGCUCUCAUUUUAAUUUAAUUUGCAUUUCUAGGAGUUCUUCUUCCUGUCAUUUCCUCACCUUGGAGCAUGGCACAUGCACUUUGAGUUCUCCAGGGUUCAGCAAUGUCUUCAGUGCUAUCACCAUCAGCAUAUAUUUCAUUCUAUUUCCAGGAAAGGGGGAUGUGCCAGGAUCCUCAAAAUCCUUCACUUUGCUCACACUUUUCUUCUGGCUUUUUGUAUCUGUGAGAUAGGUCAAUUUGUAUUGCAGGAAUCAACCUCUCGUCCCCUGGCAGUUUCAAGGGCUUCAAAAAAGGAAUCUUUCGUUCUGUGUGUGCAGUUUGCGGUUGGUCCCAGGAAACUCACCAGUGAAACUGACUGUGUGCAUCAAUACACACUUUCCAUGCAAGAGGGGAAAGUUCUGGAAAGUCUGCUGUCACCAUUUACUAUUUCUGCAGUGACUCAUUCACCUUCAUUUACCUGUCAUUGGCCAAAGGAUGCCAUGUGACCCUACCAAGCUGCAAAGGGAGUAAUGCCACUAUUUUCAUUCCAGAAGGCAAAUAAUUGGAAAUAUUUGUGCCAUAGGUGAAAUACCUUUUGUGGUGCUGAUAUCAGAGUAUCCGUUCAGUAGUCCAGGCUAUCCCCAGGAGCUGGCGGUAAGUCUGCCAUCCCCGGCAGGCUGACACACAGAUAACGAGGUAAUAAGUGUUCAAGAGUGGAAUGAGGGAGCAGUGGGACAUCCGGUGGCUGCUUCUGAUGGCAGUGGUCUCCUCAUGAGAAGACAGGCCUGACUUUGCGUCUCUACGAUGAGCGAUGCAGCCUUUCUACAGGCGAACCCUGUGCCAAGGCCCAUGCAAAAGCACUUGCUGUGUGUUCAGUUGGCUUCGUUUCUCCGUGGUCCUCAGCAGUUCGCAUCUCACAAACCGGCAGCAGUGGCUCAAAGAGAAGGGCUGUCACUUCAUCUGACCUUCUGGCAACCGCACUGUUCAGAGUAAAGCUGAAGGACCAGCCCGGGACACCUAAGACGGUAGAAGAGAUGGAGAGACCUGAACGGAAACCGGAGAGUGAUAGUUCCAGAGAGCAGAGAGUGGUGAUACGGAGAUCAGGCUAGGAUCGCUUGACAACCAGACGCGAGCCUUCAGACAAAUACUUGCCUGCAGCUGAGGUUCUGCCUAAGAAGGGUCACUCAGUACGGAUUUGGGGACCAGGGAUCCUGGCUGUUGACACUCCUUUCCCAGCAGAGAUGUGUGGUUACAGGGGGUGGGCCUGGCUGUGUAUUGAGCCUGAGCUUUAUGCUUGGUGACACAGAGGGAGGGACAGAUGCCGUGACUGGCAUGGGGCUUGUCUUUGAAGACGCUAGACAGUAUUAUAACUGCCUUAAAAAUCACCUGUAGGAACGUAUCUGUCGAGUCUAUGUAUUUACUUAACUCAUCUACAAUGGAAGAGCUAUACAGCCUAUUUUCAGUGCAAUGACUGUCAGGCUACCAUAGGACAGAGCGAGGAGCACUCUGUGCCCUGAGCUAGAGCGGCCUCUGCUAAGGUUUGAAUAUGGAGUGUCCGUGUUAGCUCCUGUGCUUGGUCCCCAGCUGGUGGCAGUAG